ACAAGGUUUCCGUAGGUGAACCUGCGGAAGGAUCAUUACAGAGUUCAUGCCCGAAAGGGUAGACCUCCCACCCUUGUGUAUUAUUACUUUGUUGCUUUGGCGAGCUGCUCUUCGGGGCCUUGUAUGCUCGCCAGAGAAUAUCAAAACUCUUUUUAUUAAUGUCGUCUGAGUACUAUAUAAUAGUUAAAACUUUCAACAACGGAUCUCUUGGUUCUGGCAUCGAUGAAGAACGCAGCGAAAUGCGAUAAGUAAUGUGAAUUGCAGAAUUCAGUGAAUCAUCGAAUCUUUGAACGCACAUUGCGCCCCUUGGUAUUCCGGGGGGCAUGCCUGUUCGAGCGUCAUUUCAACCCUCAAGCUCAGCUUGGUAUUGAGUCCAUGUCAGUAAUGGCAGGCUCUAAAAUCAGUGGCGGCGCCGCUGGGUCCUGAACGUAGUAAUAUCUCUCGUUACAGGUUCUCGGUGUGCUUCUGCCAAAACCCAAAUUUUCUAUGGUUGACCUCGGAUCAGGUAGGGAUACCCGCUGAACUUAAGCA
rnacentral:rRNA from 1 species